AUACGGAGGGUGCAAGCGUUACUCGGAAUCACUGGGCGUAAAGCGCGCGCAGGCGGCUUGAUAAGUUGGAUGUGAAAGCCUACGGCUCAACCGUAGAACUGCAUCCAAAACUAUUUGGCUAGAGUGUGGGAGAGGAAGAUGGAAUUAGUUGUGUAGGGGUAAAAUCCGUAGAGAUAACUAGGAAUACCAAAAGCGAAGGCAAUCUUCUGGAACAUUACUGACGCUGAGGCGCGAAAGCGUGGGGAGCAAACAGGAUUAGAUACCCCAGUAGUCC
rnacentral:rRNA from 1 species